rnacentral:lncRNA from 1 species
GUGGUUAGAGUGGAGGGGCGGCAGGUAGCCUAGUGGUUAGAGUGUAGGGGCAGCAGGUAGCCUAGUGGUUAGAGUGUAGAGGCGGCAGGUAGCCUAGUGGUUAGAGUGUAGAGGCGGCAGGUAGCCUAGUGGUUAGAGUGUAGAGGCGGCAGGCAGCCUAGUGGUUAAAGUGUUGAGCCAGUACUUGAAAGGUUGCUGGAUCGAAUCCCUGAGCUGAGAAGGUAAAAAUCUGUCGUUCUGCCCCUGAACAAGGCAGUUAACCCACUGUUCCUAGGCCGUCUUUGAAAAUAAGAAUUUGUUCAAAAACUGAUUUGCCUAGUUAAAUAAAGGUAAAAACGUAUAUUAUCAUAUAAGGUGCACAAUUACGGCCCAUUUAUUCAGUGAGGAAAGGGAGACUCAUUAGUGGCUGGCUGGGUACCAAGGUCCAACAGCACAUUGUCUUGGUGGGCAGGUAGUAGGUGGGAAAUAAACUGGUCAAAAGGAUCUUUUCUCUUCUUGAUUUCAAAAUUCACACAAAUGAGCAGUGUAAAAUACAAACAUUUAGGAGGAGCAGGACUGAUUCUAGUGUUAAAAGUCAGGGAGCAGGACUGAUUCUAGUGUUAAAAGUCAGGGAGCAGGACUGAUUCUAGUGUUAAAAGUCAGGGAGCAGGACUGAUUCUAGUGUUAAAAGUCAGGGAGCAGGACUGAUUCUAGUGUUAAAAGGCAAGUCCUGCACUUUUCAACCUCAUAUUCAUCCUCUCCAGCACCAAAACAGUAUCUAUAUUUCUGAAAACAGCACCUUUCACAUUUUUAUGAUCUGUAGUUAAAAAAAAAUGAGAAGAAAACUCUUUAAAAACGGUGAUUUUCAAAACCUGCAAUGAGUUUCUAGCCCAGUAGAGGACAUUUUAUUGCUCCCCACACCACUGACAAUCUAAUUGUGUUUGAAAAAUCACUGCUUUUAAAAUCAUUCAACUUUUGAUGAUGUCAUCAGGUAGAACUUUUUAACUUCAUAUUUUUUCUACAAAACUUAGAAAUGCACCAUUUUCACAUCUGAUUUUAUUUUAUUUUUACGGCUGCAUUUGUACCUUUUUUAAAAGUAUUUUGUUUAAAUAUAAUUUGCCUCCACAACAACAUGAAUACCUGCAUACUUUCACAUACAAACCAGAGGAGGCUGGUGGAGGAGCAAUAUGAGGACAGGCUCAGUGUAAAGACUGGAAUGGAAUACAUGGAAUUAAUUUAUUUAUUCCAUUUCAGCCAUAAAAAUGAACCCGUCCUCCUAUAACACAUCCCACCAGCCUCCUCUGAAUGUCUCUGUUCUGUUAAAAGAGAAGUGGAGAAUACCACAUAUUGUUUCUGUUGUAUCUAAAUGUAUCUACAUUAAACCACAUGUUUUGUUCUUAAGACUGAUGGGGAAGAGUGGAGUGUAAAGGAUUUUGCAACACUACUGUAGUUAGCGCAACCUUGUGACUCUGUUAUGGCUAGGGGGCAGUAUUUUCACGGCUGGAUAAAAAACGUACCCGAUUUAAUCUGGUUACUACUCCUGCCCAGUAACUAGAAUAUGCA